rnacentral:rRNA from 1 species
AUUGAACGCUGGCGGCAGGCCUAACACAUGCAAGUCGAACGAGUGGCGGACGGGCGAGUAAUGUCUGGAAAACUGUCCGAUGGAGGGGGAUAACUACGGGAAACGGUAGCUAAUACCGCAAACCAUGGGAUGGGCCCAGUCGGGAUUAGCUAGUUGGUGGGGUAACGGCUCACCGAGGCGACGAUCCCUAGCUGGUCUGAGAGGAUGACCAGCCACCCUGGAACUGAGCCACGGCCCAGACUCCUACGGGAGGCAGCAGUGGGGAAUCUUGCACAAUGGGCGAAAGCCUUAUGCAGCAAUGCCGCGUGUAUGAAGAAGGCUUUCGGGUUGUAAAGUUCUUUCAUCGAGGAGGCGUUACUCGCAGAAGAAGCCCCGGCUAACUCCGUGCCAGCAGCCGCGGUAAUUC